rnacentral:rRNA from 1 species
CGCAACCCCUGCUUUCAGUUACCAACGGGUCAUGCCGGGAACUCUGGAGGGACUGCCCAGGAGAACGGGGAGGAAGGUGGGGAUGACGUCAAGUCAGCAUGGCCUUUAUGCCUGGGGCUACACACGUGCUACAAUGGCCGGUACAAAGCGCUGCAAACCCGUAAGGGGGAGCCAAUCACAAAAAACCGGCCUCAGUUCAGAUUGAGGUCUGCAACUCGACCUCAUGAAGGCGGAAUCGCUAGUAAUCCCGGAUCAGCACGCCGGGGUGAAUACGUUCCCGGGCCUUGUACACACCGCCCGUCACACCACGAAAGUUUGUUGUACCUGAAGUCGUUGGCGCCAACCGCAAGGAGGCAGACGCCCACGGUAUGACAGAUGAUUGGGGUGAAGUCGUAACAAGGUAAAGGG